rnacentral:rRNA from 1 species
UACGGGGGGGGCAAGCGUUGUUCGGAAUUACUGGGCGUAAAGGGCUCGUAGGUGGCCAACUAAGUCAGACGUGAAAUCCCUCGGCUUAACCGGGGAACUGCGUCUGAUACUGGAUGGCUUGAGGUUGGGAGAGGGACGCGGAAUUCCAGGUGUAGCGGUGAAAUGCGUAGAUAUCUGGAGGAACACCGGUGGCGAAGGCGGCGUCCUGGACCGACAUUGACGCUGAGGAGCGAAAGCUAGGGGAGCAAACGGG